rfam:Dipodomys ordii contig_30426, whole genome shotgun sequence.
GGGAAAGUGGCUCAGUGGUAGAGUGCUUGCCUUGCAUGCAUGAAGCCCUGGGUUCGAUUCCUCAGCACCA